rnacentral:rRNA from 1 species
UAGAGGAAGUAAAAGUCGUAACAAGGUUUCCGUAGGUGAACCUGCGGAAGGAUCAUUACUGAGUAUUGUCGGAUUUUCGCUUCUCGUGCGGACCCUAGGUCUUAAUGGGGAGUGUAUUAUUCGCAUGCAUUACUUACCAAAUGUUGAAUUGAUACGUGGUGGCGCAAGUCAGGUAUUUAAUAAUGGCUGCGCUUGCGCCGUCACCAUUAACCUAUAAUAUUACAUGUGAUGGCGGACUACGGAUUACGAAUUAAUAUAAACUUUCAACAAUGGAUCUCUUGGUUCUGGCAUCGAUGAAGAACGCGGCAAAAUGCGAUAAGUAAUGUGAAUUGCAGAAUUCAGUGAAUCAUCGAAUCUUUGAACGCAAAUUGCGCUUUCUGGUAUUCCGGAAAGCACACCUGUUCGAGCGUCAAUUUUCAAAUAUUAGUAUCCGUUGCUUGCGUACGCUGGCCGGAUGUCUUGGAUGAACAUUGCUGUGUCUGGCUGCCAUGUGGUGGUGCUGAUCGGCACAUCCGAAAGUUGUUUACGGCGAUGUGAAGUGCUUCGGUGGUAGCAAUGUUGAAGACUUGUGUUUUCGCUUUCAGCCUUGAAGUAUGGAGCAUAUGCGUUUACGUGUUGAAGGUCGGGUUGGCUGCGUAGAGCGGUUCAGCGUUGACCGUGAAGCUUGUGACCUCGAAUCAGGUGGGAGUACCCGCUGAACUUAAGCAUAUCAAUA